rnacentral:lncRNA from 1 species
UGUACGAGUUAUCGGGAGUUUUCGUUCAAACAUUUCGGGUGCGUUUGGUUCGCAUUAUUUUUUAAAGAUUUCUAGUAAUUUAAUGGGAAUAAAAAUAUAUAACGGUGUUUGGCUAAACGCACNAUUUUUCUCUCUAAAAUUCAACUUUUUUUUCUCACUCUAAACUAAGUUUUCUCUCUCUCUCUCUUUCUAAAAUUUCAACUCUCUCUCACUCCCUCUAAUUUCGACUAUAUUUUUCUUUCUAUUUUUUUAAUUAUGCUCUCUCUCUCUAACUUAUACUCUCUCUCCCUUUUUUUCUAAAAAGAUGUUGAAACUUUUAGUAACAUUAUAUAAAAUUAAUUAAAUAAAUAAAUUAAUUGUAUAUUUUUUGUAAUAUUAAAUAAUAUGACUAAUUAAUAUUACCGUGUGAACCAAACAUAUGAAUUCCACAUUCUUAGUAAUAGGAUGAAUAUGAAUAAGAUUCUCGAAUAUCUUCUAUUCCUAGUAAUCUUUCAUAAUGCGAACCAAACGCACCCUUAUAUUUAUCUGAAUCUCAUUCUAAAUAAAUAAACAAAUCGAAUAGCAUACUAUCUUUCUCUUAAAAAAAAAUAAAUAAAUAAAAUCAAUUGAAAGUGAAUAUAUAUG